GUACUCCUAUUGCCACAGCUGACAGCAGAGGUUCCACUGCAGGGACAGGGUUCAGGGAGAGAGAAAGCACAGAACCACAAGACAAGGGCACAAGAUGGCAUUGGAGAGCUAUAUAGAUCCUGAGGUCAGAAGAAAGGUGCAGCCUCCAGUUGUCGAAGAAUCCUUUUUUAAAAUCCCUCCAUGGUUUGUGAGAUGUCUCAGCAGGAUCCAGAGGGACAGAAGAGAACAUCAGAGUCUCUAGAAUUAGAGUUACAGGUGGAUGGAAGCCACCAUGCAGCGCCAGGACUUGAACUUGGGUCCUCUAGAAGAGCAACUAGUGCGCUUAACUACUGAGACAAGUUUCCAUCCUCAUCCUCCAUGAUGCUGCUUCAAAUUUCAGCCUGAUUCCCUGUCCUGAUUUUCCUCAGUGAUGGGCUAUAGCCUAGAACCAUAGGCCAAAUAAAAUCCAUUCCUCCUCUG